rnacentral:lncRNA from 1 species
UAAUUGCAAUUAAAGACAACAAACCAUGCACAUAUAUUCUUAAAAUUUGUAAGAGAAAAAAAACACACACACACACAUCCAUUUUUACUAUACUCCACUAACACAUCAUUUUUUUUACAUGAUACAAUUCAUAAAUUGUAAAAUAGACCCCUAAAUAUUUAGGAAUUGCAUAGGAAUACUUCUGAGAAUGCAGGAAUAAUGGCAGCGCGUCUGCUCCAAGAAAAUGUUGGGAUCUGAAAUUGCUUCUUCUCUUCUACCCUUCUUUGCCAGCGGUGAUGCCAUGGCCUGUGAAAAACAAUGAAAUUGCAACAAAAACAAUUUGAUUUGUUUUUUUUUUUGUUAGAUCUGCUUUUUUUUUCCCUUCAGAUUUGCCAAUUCUAGAGACGGGCUUUGUUGCACUCAUCGUUGACAGACAGGCGUGUGGAUAACUAGAUCGACAACUUUCCUCCUCCUACUUUAUUUUUACUCUGGCGGUGUCAUCCAACGCUCUCAUGGUUGGGAGAUCGGUGCCCUUAAAGUCUCGGUUUUCUACUCUUUACUGUCCUUUGGCCUCCUCUCUGAUUUCUCCAUCUUCUUUGUAUUGAGCUGUUGUUAGCAGCGAAGAGGAAGGGAGAGUGAAGGGACUGGCUCAACUUGUUCUCUGGUUAGGAGAAGACAAGGUUGUUUUAUGGGGAAAGACCGAGGAGGUAAGGUGCUCUGGUAAAGGGUAAGAAAGGGCCAGGAGGUGGUUUGUGGAGGUUAAGCUAAAGAGAUGGAAAGUCUAGUGAUGGCGGGCUAUGGGUAAGAGAAGAAGCCUGCAUUGUGGAGGCAGUGAGAGGGAAAGGAGCGGGGAUGGUUG